rnacentral:lncRNA from 1 species
AGGUUCCCUGACAGUGCUCAGUCAGCCCUGCUCACCUUGUCCCCAGGCCAGGCCUCUAACUGGGUCAUUCUGUCAGAGAAUAUACAAAGCAAGUGGUCACAUGCUUUGCUAAUCCACUCAUGUGCAUUCAGGGGACACUGACUCACACAAAACCAGAAUCCACAACACGAUGCCAGCUCACUCUCCAAGCCGCAUGUCAGGGACCCGACCUGUGUGUUCACAUAGGCUGCUACAACACCAGGGGGGAGUCCAGAUGCUGAACGUCCUGCUUCCUGUGCUUUUGGAAAUGGAAGGGGAUGGCAAGACUUGAGAGAGGUAAGCAAACCUUUAUUACCUUGUUGAUAAGACGGGAGAACAAAACGAUGGCUUUGCUCCUGUCCUUACACAAACGGACUAAGACUCCUACCUGCCGCCGAUUAGGGAGAUGUGUUCUUCCCAGAAGCAUUAGAGAGGGCCAGAAUAGGGCCAAGAGCCACAGCUCUGUGUGACAAGGGGAAUCGCAUGUCCACCACAGCCCCAUUCAGCCACCAGGGUCUCUACCUCACCCCCCAUCAUCCUAGCACAGACCUGAAGAUAAGGGAAGCCCCAGGUCUGUCAGGGAGAAGUCUCUGUGGAGUGGAUACACAAUGGUUAGCAGAGACCCUCUUCUCAACCUGCACCUUUUAUAAGGUGACGCUCAUGUCUCUACUCUCACCAGAGCGAACUCUCGGGUGCAAGCACGGCUGCAGGGCCAGGUGUUACCACCUCUCCAGAGCAACUCGCCUCUCUGGCCAGGAGUUUCUGAAGCAGAUAGAUGUGAGCUAGUCAGAAAGCACUGGCUUCCCCAGGGCCACCUGCAUCCCAGAGAUCUAGGGUGAUCUCCACCCCAGGCAGUGAAAUACAAUCUAAGGUGGGACAAAGGCCUGGAAAAGAUGUGCCUGUGUUAUGCGUGAAUUAGCUCCCUGAAUGCUUUCCGCCUGGCUGAGUUGUGAUGGUGGAAUCUUAUCUCUGCAGCCUAAUGUGGUGUGACCAAGGGAGUUUUUGUUGUUGUUUGCUUUGGUCUGCAGGUUGCCUAAAAUUACACAGCUAGUAAACUGCUGUCCCUGAACCUGCCUGCUCUCCACAGCAUGGACAACAGCUGAUUAAGGAGUCCAUCAGGUUAAGCCUGAAAGUCCCCAGGAAGCACAAUGGCAAAGGUUUGAGAAAUGCCAAACUCUGGCCAACUCCGGGCUAAUUUGGGAUUCCAAAGUGGUAAGGUAAGACACGGGGCCACUGGAGCUAUGGAGUUGCCCCACCAGUGAAGACUGCUUCCCACCACGGCCUUUCGCAAGCCAGAAAACAUUUGGAAAACUUGAGAAUUUGACUACAUCCAGAAACUGGCACUGAGUAAUCACUCCAUGGUUGAGCAAGUGCUUUGCUGAAAAAGGUCUAUUGGAUGACAAACCAUACAUCAACUUGCCUUCACUUUAUUGGAAGGAGAAAUUCUAAACAGAUUCUGAAAGAGAUCAACCCUAACUUUAUUUAGGUCACGCUGCUGACACACACAAAUAAUGGGAAGCGUGUGACUAAUUGAGAAACAGCAAGGAAAGGUCAAUGCCUAGUUUAUUUCUUAACUCACAAUAAUGUGAGUAACACUCGUAGGCAUUUGCACUAUCCACUCGUCGAUGCUGCAGCCGUUAAAGGAACAGAAGUAGGGAGGUUCAUUUAAACUCAUUUUUUUUUAAAAUAAAAAAGCUCUGCCAGUACAUGGCGACUUAAACCUGAAAACCACACAUUUCAGAACAGCUCUCAAAUGCAUUUAGAUAAUGAAGCCUCAGUAACCUACCUGUGCAGGAGAAAUGAUUAUAACCCCCAUUUUAUCAAUAAGCAGCUGGAUAUUCUUGCAUGUGAAGUGAUCUGCCCAAAGUCCCUCAUUAGUUAAUGAUAGUUGAGCCAGAAUUAGAUUGUGAGUCUCCAGGCUCCGUACCAAGGGCACAGGGCUCUGUGGUCUCGGGAGGGUAGGCCAAGUAUAAGAUGCUGAAUCCAAGCAAUACCUGUGUUUAUUAUGGACUGUGCAAUUCCUAUGUUGAUUAUGAUCACUGAUGUCCAUGUACCCCCGAAGGCAACCAGCCUUCCUGUACCUGGAUCCCUGCAUCUAGAUCUAUAAAGGACCCAGCAGGAAAUGAUGGGAACUUGAUCUAUUGGUGACUCACAAGGCCUGUGGCUCCGUUCAGAGCGAAUUCCCUGCUGAAGGUGGGGAGCAGCAUUUGAGCAUACAGGGAAGGUGGCACCAUGCUCUGGCACUCUGUACAUUGGCAACCUUUGGCUAGGAGGAAAGAUCAUCUUCUCUGAGCACACUGAAGAAAGACAGCCCAGGGAUGCCACAAAACCUGGGGGACCAGGCUGUGGAUACACUUCCCCGUCUACACACCCCCGGGGAGUGUUUGGUCUGAUGGAUGGCGAAGGUGGUGUUGAACAUGGUACUCACUCAGAGACACUGAAGAGCCUGGGGAAGCACAGAAUGCCCGUGUCACCCUCAUCUUGCGGGAAAAACUACAAGGGAAACGAGGCCAACCCAGAUCAUAAGUGGAUACGCUUCGAGUAGCCCCCGGGGCUUCUGAACACCAAGCGGAAGCUUGUCAGACAUUAAUGUGCCCAGGGACCUGCAGGUUCUGCUUCAGCCUGGCUCAGGUGGGGCUGAGAUUCUGCAUUUCAAAUAAGCACUAAAGGGAUGAUUUCCAUGCUCCCGGGCCGGACCACACACUGAGUAGCAGGAUCUAGAAUACCACGACCUUCUGUGCCCUUGUAAUUUCAGGCCUCCCCCUCACCCCAUCCCCCAUGCUCAUGACAGGCUCCUACAUCCUGCCAUAUGCACAUCCACCAAUUUCACUGGUCUGAGCUCAUCCUCUGUCUCACUCUGUGCCACCUUGGGCUGGGCUACUUCAUGCUUGCUGUCCCCUCUGCCUAGGAACUCUUCUGCUGAAUGACUAACUGCCAUGACCCCUCAUCUCCUCCAGUGCAGAACCAACCCUGCCCCCUGCUUGCAAGCACUGCACCCACUCUUGUGUCUCCUGUACCCCCUCCCUGUCCACGUUCUCCACAGCACUUACCACUAUUUUAAAAUUUCAUACAUGAUUGGCUUAGCUCACUGUCCACCUCACACCUGCCUGUCGAGCACAGAAGACAAGCAUUUUGUCUUGUUCACUGCUGGAUCCCAGUGUGUGGCAUCUAAUAGGCACUUCAAUAUUUGUUAAAUGAAGAAAGAAUUUAACUUCUAAUGAAAAUUUUAAAGUGCCUACCAUCCUCCUCAAGGACUCUGAGGAACUGUUUGCUUACAACUGAUGUGAAUGAUUGUUUUUCUUAACUGAACAAAGCACCUCGGGAUUUCCUAAGGAUCUGUUGUUAAAGACUACAGAUUCUCUCCUGUAACUGUGGGCUUCGUGGAGAAAGGCACUCCCAGUGUUUUCUAGUUCUUGUUUGCCAUUCAGCUGAUGGGGCUCCUCCUCCCACUCACAGGACCCACACAGAUGGGGAUAUAUCAAAAUCAACAGGCAGAUUGCCCCAGGAAAGGGUCCUACUCCCACCCAUGGAGAAAAGAAGGAAGCAGGACGGGAAUGUGCCCGUGGUACACACAAUGACUCCAAGGCUCAGGAAGUGAUGGGCCUGCUGGGGUCUCACUUGGUAAGGCUGGGACUGGAACCUAUGCAUGGCUCCUAAGUUACUCCUCUGCUCCUCUUUACAAACAGAAGUUGGCAGCUGGGUUGAGAGUGGUUUCAGCUACACAACUCAGGACAGGGACCCUGAAGAAGUCUAAUGAUAUCCAUGGAAUCAGAGAAAGUCUUCCUGGGAGUCAGUCCUGUGUGUGCAUCAACGGUGGCUACUGGUAAACAGAGGACCCUGUCCAGUGUGAGGCCAGGACCCACACUGCCCUUGAGCCUGGCUGUGCCUCUCACCAUACACACCCGAGAUAGGUGGGCAUGUGGGAAGCUCCGCAUUAACCACAGCACAGUUCCAUUCCCCAAGACAGGACAUUCUUAGAGCUUAUAGAUUACAAUUUUAAAGUUGCAGGUGGAAAUGUGUGUCCAAGUUCACUACCACCUUUCUCUAAAGGUUUCUCCUCUCCCACUCCAUCCCAAGUAAGCCCACGUGUCAGGGCAGGACUGGAGGCAUUCCUGAGUGUCAAGAGGAUUCCUGACUCACAUUCAAUUCACCCCUGGGGCCAGCGUCCCCAGAAGAAAGACCUGCCUAGUUCAUGAUUCACAUUGUACCUUAGAGUCCAGUUCGCCCUAAAGCUGCGUUGGAGGGCAGCUUGGGUGCUGGGUUUGCACUGGACACACAGACCUCUCUGCUUAGCUAUAGCCACCUGUGCACAUGCAGAACUGGCUUCUGGGAAAAUCCAAGUUAGAGGUCACCCUUAAGACACUAGAACUCAAUGUGCCCAGGGUGUGGUACGAUUUUGCAGUCCUGAUAUGAACAGUGUGGAUAAAAAGGACAGUUUGUGGCCUAUUUCAUAACGGCUCACUCCUGUUCCCAGCUAUCUGCCUAUAAUGAAGAACACACAAUUCUGUCUGUACCCUCCUGAGCAGGGCAUGAAGCCACAGUGAGGGGCUGGUCCGGGAACUGCCUGGGAACUGAAGGAAAGAAUGACUUUCUCUAGGUUCCGUUCAUGGGACCUAUGAAUUCAACAAACCAGAGAGAGAUUACUACGAGAAAAAUCAUGUACAUUUAAUUUCAUGUUAAUAUUUUUACAAGGAAAGAAGUGAAAACCCUAAAGAAGUGGUUGGACCCAGAGGCUUAUAUACUGCCUUAACAAAAGCAAUAAAUUGUGGAGAUAGGAUAAGACAAAGAAAAACUGGGUGUAGUGUGGGGUGGUAAAUUAUGGGAAAGUCACUAGGGAAUAUGUGGGAAAAAUUAAUGGAAGAUAAGGCUUAUUCUAGUGAGACUGAUACAAACUCUUCUGAUAUAAGCUCCUCCCCUUCUCUAAUGAUAAAAAUGUUCUCUUCCUGGUACAGGGAGGGGACUUUUCUUCCAAGAAAUAUAUGCUCUGACUUGAGAUAGAAAGAAGAAGGGCAGAGAACCCUCCUGCACUUGCUAAUUCUCAACUGCCACCAGCCUGGAUAAUCAAGGUGUCCAAAUGACAUACUUUGGGGCCUGUUCUGACUCCUGCAGGGCUGAGAAGCCAGCACUGUUGGGUAGCAGGGGGGCAGACUUUCACAUGUCAAGAAGAAAAGGAGUGAAAUGUAGGAAGAAAACUAAGUGGUAGCAGCUUCCCUAAGCCCUGCUUCCCAAAUGUGGCUUCCAGAGUCUCAUGCUGUUCCCAACGCUAUCAGGUUUUUAAUUUGUUUCUAAUCUCAAAACCUUUAUCCACUGUUACACCAAUGCCCAGAGUCUCACAGCCCCCAUCUCUCUCUCUUUCUCUUUCUCUAUCUCUCUCUCCCUCUCUCUCUCUCUCACUCUCUCUCUCUCCCUCUCUCUCUCUCUCUCUCUCUCUCUCUCUCUCUCUCACACACACACACACACACUCACCCUCACUUAAGAGAAGACAGUAAUGAGAAAAGCCAGGUCAGAGAAGAUGCUAGAAAAAGAAGAAAGUUGUAAGAAAAAGGAAGGUGGAGAAGAGGAGAAGCUGUCCUAACAGUCGGUCACCAAGCUCUUGACUCCCACCGCAUGGGGCCAGAUCUUUCGGGAACAAUGGAAGGACCUUCUGCUCCUUACUGCGCUCUUCUGCUACAGGUCUAAAGGAAACUAGCUAUUGUAAAUGGAUUCGCCCUUGCCCUCCGCAUCAAUCAGACUUGAGACCUGAACCUCUGUGAUUGUAAACCGAUGUCUGUUCUCACUUGCUCCCUGGGGUAAACUUCUGUGUCAAUCACAUGCCAAGAUGACAGUAAUGUUACCUCGAUGAAGUGCAAUUAAAAUUGCCAAGGAAUGUCCCUUAUCACAGAAUCACGGAGCUCGCAUCUUAAACCUUAGAAACAAACAUCAUCUACUGUUACCAGACUUUAUUGACAUGGAAACCGAGGCCCAAAGAGGUUGGUCAAGGUCACAUACAUUAUUAGGAACAGAGCUAUGCCAACUGUGAGGACAACGCUCUUUCCGCUACUCACACCGCCUAGCACAACUACGUUUAAUUUUAGCUCAUCACACAUUCAGCUUGCGCUUUCGAGGAAUGUUAUAGUCCCCACUCCAUCUGUUCAUCCUUCUACUAGCUUCUCUUUAUUCAGUGCUUCCCAUGCAUCUAUCUGAUGCACUCUCCUUAAAAAAACAGAGGAGAAGUCCGGGGUUUAAACUGAUCACCAUCUGUCUGUCAUUUGGACAGCCCUGGGAUGGCUCAAACACCUGUGGUUGACAAUGCUCCAUCUUCUUCUGAAGGGCUGGUUCUAGAUCUGCAAUCCACUUUGGGCAAAGACAGAAAAAAAAAUUCUUCCAAGAUUUACAGCCACUAAGAGUAAGGCCACCAUGGUCAUCUUAUGGCACACACCAUCACCUAAUUAGGUUUUGCUUUAAAUACAAUUAGAACUGUUCAGGUGGAAGCUAUCCAGCUAGAAAAACAUGUUUGGUUGUGCACCACUAUUAAAAUCUGUGUCAUGAAAAGUUGAAGGCACAGGCCUGGGGAUGUCACUCAGAGGUAGAGCUUUUGCUUAGCAUGUCUGAGACUCUGGGUUCCAUUCCCAGAACUGGAAGGAAGAAAAAAAGUUGACUCAGUUUGAACUUUUAGGGUGCUAAGCUGAAGUGCAGCCCCCAGAGUGUUUCAAGGGUCAUAGCUGUGAAGCGUGGUUGCCUCUGGGACACAGAAACAGGUGUGAUCCUCAUUUCCACCAGAGCCUAGGUCAAAAGCCACACCAAUGGAAAGGGUUGCAGGGUUUUCAAAAUGCUACCAGGUAUGAGGAAAAAAACUUCAGCAAUCAAACAACCAAAUAAUUAAGGAAUAAUAGUUCACUUCACUGUGCAUCUCGGGGAAGCAGAGUACAUGGCAUUAUUUUUUGUGAAGCACCAAUACAUGGAAGGGUGUUUGAUUUGUGUGCAGAUGUUGUAAGUACCGAGAUGGCUAUCUGAGUAGAUAAAUGCUUCAGGGACUUUGAGCCUUAGGAAAAUGGGAUCUGGCUAAAGUUUCUUUUUUCUGUUCUCUUGGUUGCUUGAAUCUUUUCUCUCCUUACAUAAGCCAGGUAAAAAUUGAUGCUCUCACUCUUCUAAGGUGUAGAAGUACAUAAACCAAUGAAAUUUCAGGGAUGAACACUUAGUGUCUCCAUGCAAUAACUGGUAUUUCUGCUGUAACCUCUGACUUCUGUGCUUAAAAUGCCACUUAGGGGCUGGGGAUAUAGCUCAGUUGGUAGAGUGCUUGCCUCGAAUGCACAAGGCUCUAGGUUCAAUACCGGGCACCACCAAAAAAACAAACAAACAAACAAACAAAAAACCACAAAAAAACUAGAACACUAUUUAGUGACCUUCCAGGGAAUGUGAAACUCUAUACUGGGUACCAUGCCUGGCUUCCUAUGGAGAAGAUGCUGGGGCCAAGUCCUACUGCUCUUAACCCCUGAACUGAACUGUUCACCUUGACCUGUCUGAUCUAAGAGCUGGGCCUCUCUGUACGCUCCCAGGGACUUACUUACUUGGUCACUGACCUCCUGCUUGUGCUAACUCCAGGACGGGUCACCUUUGGUUGUCUUUUUGGCCACCACCAAGGCUUUCGAUGACUGCAGUUCUAGAUACCGAUUCUCCUGCUCUGGCUGAGGGCCAGGUUCUCCACCCCCAACCAAAAGGGCUCAUGUUCUCCACUCCCCAGGCAAGAACAAGGACUCUAGAGAUGUGAAACGUUAAGGAAAUGGAGGUCACAUCCCAUGCCUUUCAUGGUGGUAGGGCCAUUUAAGAUGCAGGUGCCAAAGGGAUGACAUGGACAAAGAAACGGAGAGCUGUCAGGGAAACUGCCUAGGGAGGUGACCUGCAGGAGGAGAUUUCAGACAGGUAAAGGGCAUUCCAGAGCUCAUCAUCCAUCUAUUCACUCGACAACCACAAGUUCACAAUCAGUGGAUGAGGCACUUUAGGAAACAGUGACAUAACACAGGAGACCUGUGCUCACUGACACACAGAGCUAGGCCAUGAGGACCACUGCUGAAGCCCUACCUUCUUGGGAAACUGUUUUCUGCUUUCAACUCCUGUGCCUGAUAGCAAGUCAACAGGGGUGAAUCUGGAUGUUGCAUAUAAGAGCCCAAAUCCACCCAGGUAUAUUGGACCCUAAGUUAUAUUUCUUCACUGAAGGCUAAAACCUAUUAGCUCAAAACCUAGCUGGUGCCAAGCUCAAAUUUUUGCAAACUCAAAUUUUUGGGCUAUUUUUUUCAGUAGCCCAAACAAGCAGAUUCUUAAUUAUUUAGAGCCCAUUUUGCAUGCCCCCAUAAAACGACAACCAGCAUCAGCUGGCCAGUGACAAGAUAGAGACUUUGUGUUUAUAAAACCCUUAGCAACAACUGCCUUUGGAGCAAUCGGUCCCAGAGAUGCACUGUCAGGCUGCUGAGUGACAGACAUCACCUGGACACCUUAGAAGCCCCGUCUGUGGUCCCCCUACCUAGGAAUUCCCUUGCCCUCCUCCUCUGACCUUUUACAAACUCUUGCUCUGAUGGAUUGCAAGUCUACAAAUCUACCAAAGUGUUGUCUAACAAAGCUUCUAUGUUCUCCUACCACUUUCAGGUCAUAUCUUUUUCUUUGACCAUCCCCCAAUCUUCUGAACUCCCUAUACCAGGCUGCUAUGUUUACAAUCAUGUGACACUUUUCUCCUGAGGCUGACUGGAGGAUGGGUAACACCUGAUUCAAGGUAGCCAAUCAGAUCAUCAUUCUUGGGAAAGUGGAAUUUAGAGAAUGGAAAACAAUAUUAGACACCCAAGUAUCCUUAUAACUAGGUUCUCCCUCCUCCCUAGAAAAACUAAGUUUUCUUUGCAAUGACACCAUAUUAACUAAUGUUAAAACAGAAAUAAAAUAAAAUAAAUCAGUGUUGGGAAAGAUUAAUUUCAACAAGUGGUGAUCUAGGAGGACUAUCUCACUCCAGUCAGAAUGGCAGUUAUCAUUAAUACAAGCAACAAUAAGUAUUGGCAAAGAUGUGGGAGAAAAGGUACGCUUCUACAUUGCUGGUGGGACUGCAAAUUGUUGCAACCAAUCUGGAAAGCAGUAUGGAGAUUCCUUAGAAAACUUAGAAUAGAACCAUCAUUUGACCCAGCUAUCCUACUCCUCAGUCUAUGCCCUAAAGACUUAAAAACAGCAUACUACAGUAACACAGACACUUCAGUGUUUAGAGCAGCACAAUUCACAAUUGCUAAACUGUGGAAGCAACCUAGAUGCCUUUCAAUAGAUGAAUGGAUAAAGAAACUGUGGUAUAUAUACACAAUGGAAUAUUGCUCAGCAUUAAACGAGAAUAAAGUUAUAGCAUUUGCAGGUAAAUGGAUGGCAUUGGAGAAUAUCAUGCUAAGUAAAGUAAGCCAAUCCCAAAAAAUCAAAGGCCAAAUGUUCUCUCUGAUAAGUGGAUGCGGACUCAUAAUGGUUGGGGGGAGAAUGGAGGAACUUUAAUUGGGCAAAGAGAGGAAGGGCAGAGGAGGGGGUAUGGGGGUAGGAAAGAUGGAAUCAUUGCCCACGGUACGUGUUGACUGCACAUAUGGUGCAGCUCUAUAGUGUGCACAACCAGAGAAAUGAAAAGUUGUGCUUUAUUUGUGUACAAUGAAUUAAAAAGCAUUCUGCUAUCAUGAAUAACUAAUAAGAAUAAAUAAAAAAAAGGAAUUGGGAAUGGGAAGGGGGCCUUAAAGAAUUCACACCUACGGAGGUGUGAAUGAGCAAGACAGGUACUCAAAGGAAAGAAAGUGGGUCAGAGAGCAAGAGGAACUGGAGGGAUGGGGAGGAACCAAGGUGGGACAGUUAGACUGAGCCCCAGCAUGGAUACCUGGGGGCGCUUAGGAUGCAGGCCAGGGGAUCCCAAUAUAACCAAAGGAAACCACAUUGUUUAUUUCCUGAUGUACUGAGGUAUUUAUAGUACAUGCUGAGACUGGUGCUGAGGUGAUUUGUCUUGUUCCCUCUUCAGGGAAGCUAGAAAACCAGAGAAAAGGCUGUGAAAAUACAGCCUGUCCUCAAGAGAAAAGUCAAAGGCAAUCAAAAGGACUGAUCUUGAGAUGACUUGGACAUCAUAAUUAACAGAUAUUUUAAACAGCCAUUAAAGCUAGGCAUAUGAUGCUAUUCUAUGCCCAUAAUAUUUUACAGAAACAAAAACAUUAUGCACACGGCAUAAAAGAAAGAAUGUUCAUGAUGAACAAGAACUGACUGGAAGAUAUAUUUUUUAAAAAUAUGAAAUUAAAAAUUUUUUUCUGAAUGUGCUUCAGAGAAGAAUGGAAAGGAUGAAAGAAUCUAUGAUCUUGAAGACAAAGCAAAGGAUUAUCCAACCUGUAAAACAGAGAGAAAAAAUAAAGAAUAAAAAAAAAAUUAGACCCUUGGGGACCUGUGAGACUGACUACCCAUCCAUCCAUCAGCAUAUAGCAAUUAAAGUCUGAGAGGAGAGGAGAGGAUAAAGAAGAGAAAAAUAAUGAGGCAUCAAGAUUAUUUGAAUAAAUAACGACCAGAAACUCUCCAAAUUUGGUUAAAGACAUACCUUUUCAUAUUUAAGAAACUCAGUAAACACCAAGAAACACAUAGAAAGAAAACCACACCUAGUCAUAUCAUAAACAAACUUCUGAAAAUGAUUUUAAAAACGAAACAUGGCGAAUGCACAAUAUAGAAGACCAAAGGCAAAGAUGACAGCAGAUUUCCCAUAAGAAACUAUGCAAAUUAGAAGACAAUGGGGCUAUAUAUGUAAAGUGCUGAAAGAAAAAAAGUCAAAUUAGCAUUCUAUAACCAUAGAAAACAGCUUUCAAAAAUAAAAAAGGAAAAAAAAUACUUUCUGAUGUGCAAAAGUUAAAAGAACUCAUCACGAGCAGACCUGCACUAUAGGAAACAUUCAAGGAAGUCCUUCAGGCAAAAAGAAAGUAAUAAUAGAAUAUGGAUAUAUACAAAAGGAAAAAAGCACCACAUGAUAACUGCUAUAGUGUGGAUCUUAAGUGUUCACCCAAAGGUUCAUGUAUUAAAGGUCUGCUUGCCCGGGAGGUGCUAUUGGGAGGCAGUGAAACCUUUAAUAGGUGGGACCUAGUAGAAAAUGAUUAGGUCACUGGAAGCGUGCCCCAGAGGCAAUUCUGCUCCCUUCCUAUUUUUCUAUUUUGCUCCCUAACCAUUAGGAGAGUGGUUCUGCUCUACCAUGUGCUACAGCCAUGAUGUGCCGCCUUAAUACAGGCCCAAAGCACAGACUGAAGCCUUCAAAACUGUGAGCCAAAAUAACCUAUCUCUUUAUAAGUACUUGUUUCAGGUGUUUUAUUAUAAUAAUGGAAGGAUGACUAACAAAAUAACUACAUAGGUUAAUUUAAAACACCUUUUUUUCCCCUUAAUAUUUGUUUUGCUAAAAGACAAUUGACUGUUUAAAUAAAAAUAAUGGUAAUGAAUGGCAGGGUUAAUAUGGAACUGAGUAGUAAAACAGAGGAGGGCAAUAGUACACAGGCCAGGAGGAAAGAUAUGGUUAUGCAUUAAGAUUCUCAUACAUUAAUUAGUAUAAUAUUGCUGGAAGGUGGAUGGUGAUAAGUAAAAGAUGUUUGCAGAAAAUGGCAAGGCAACUACUAAAAUAAUAUUAUUUUUAUGUUCAUUAAAAUGGUAAAUAAGAUAAAUAUGAAUAUUAAGAGGGAGAUGAAGCCAGGCACAGUGGUGCAUGCCUGUAAUCCCUGCAUCUCUCGGGAGGCUGAGGCAGGAGGAUAGCGAGUUCAAAGCCAGCCUCAGCAAAAUCAAGGCACUAAGCAGCUCAGUGAGACCCUGUCUCUAAACAAAAUACAAAAUAGGCCUGGGGAUGUGGCUCAGUGGCCAAGUGCACCUGAGUUCAAUCCCCAGUACCCCAGCCCCCACUCCUCCAAAAAAAAGGGGAGAAGAGUCACAAAAGAAUACUCAAUCCACAAGGAGGCAGAAAAAAGAAAAAGGUAAUAAAGAACAGAUUAAGUAUCAAAAAAAAAAAAACAACAAUUAACGAAGUGGAUAGUUUAAACCAAAUCAAAUCAAUAAUCAUAUUACAUAUAAGUAGCCUAAAUACCCCAAUUAGAAGACUGAUUGUCAGCUGGGACAGAAACACAAGACCAAAGCAUAUGUUGCUUACAAGAAAUCCAUUUCAAAUAUACAGCCACAGCUAGGUUAAAAGUAAAAAGAUGGAAGAUGAUACACCAUCCUAACAUUAAUAAAAAGAAAGGUGGAAUGGCUUCAUUAUUAUCAAAGUAGAUUUCAGGUCAAAGAACAUUAGCACAGUAAAGAGGGUAAUUCCAUAAUGGUAGAGGGAGUCAAAUAAUCAAAGGAACACAACAACUGCAAAUAUUUAGACACCUAACAAGAGAGCUUCCAAAUCACAUGAAGAAAAGCAAUAGAAUUGCAAGGAAAAACAGACAAGUGCAUAGUCUAUGAUUUUUAACAACCUUCUCUCAAUAAUUGAGAGAAAACUAGACAGAAAAAUGAGGUAGUAUACAGAAGCCUUAAACAACACUAUAAUUAAAUUUAUAUCGUGUCAAAAACAGUACAUUCAACAACAAAAGAUUACACGUUAAAGAAUGUAUGGAACAAUUACCAAUAUAGAUCACAUUCUAAACUAUAAAAUGUGUAUUAAUGAAUGUGAAAGUAUUCAAGUUCUACAAAGUAUGUUCUCUGACCACAACAAAAUUAAAUUUGAAAUCAAUAACAGAACAAUAUUUUGAAAAUUUCCAAAUAUUUGAAAGAAAAAUACAGUAGUUUCCCCUUAUCUGGGGAGGAAACAUUCCAAGUUCCCCAGUGGAUCUCUGAAGCAAGAGAAGUAUCAAACUCUAAGUAUCUGUUUUUUUUCCUGUACAUACAUGUCUAUGAUAAAAUUUAGUUUAUAAAUUAGGCACAGUAUAAAAUGAACAAUAACUAAAAAUAAAAUAGAACAAUCAUAAUAACGAUUAUCAUCUCUCUCUUUCUCUCAAUAUCAUCUUGUACUAUCUAUCAAUCUUAGCAACCUUAAUAUCUAUAUUAAGUUGAAAACUUUCACCUUUUCACUUAAAGAGAGCACUUUAUUGCUUUUCAUUGGCUUAUCUGAAUUGCCAGUCACACUACUCUUAUGUUUGGGGGCCAUUAUUGAGUAAAAUAAGAUUGAACACAAUAAGAUGUGAACAAAAUAAGAUGAACACAAGCAGUACAAUACUUCAACUCUCUCAACAGUGGAGACAGCUACUGAGUGACUACAGGUGGGUAGCAUACACAAUGUGAAUAUGUUGGACAAAGGGAUGAUCCAAAUACCAGGUCAGAUAGAGCUGGAUGCACAAGAUUUCAUCAUGUUACUUAAAACAGCAUGUCAUUUAAAACUUAUGAAUUGUUUAUUUCUGGAAUUUCCUAUCUAAUAUUUUCAGACCAUGAAUGAUGGGUGGGUAAACUGUGGAAGGUAAAGCUGCAGAUGACUGGAGACUACUGUAACAAAUUUAUGGAUAAUUCAUAGGUCAAUGAAGAAACUAAUAGGAAAAUUCAAAAAUAUUUUUAACUGGAUGAAAGUGAAAACAUGAAACAGAAAAUUUUGUGGGGCACUACUAAAGCAAUUUAGAAGAAAACAUUAAAAGCUUAUAGUCCAGAAGAAAGGUCUUAAAACAAUAAUUUCAGCUUCUUCCACCUUAAAGAACUAGAAAGAGUAAAUGAAAGCCAACACAAACAGAAGAAAGGAAACAGUAGAAUAAAAAUCAAUUAAACACAAAACAAAAAAAUAGAGGGAAACAGUAAAAUCAAAAGGUGAUUCUUUGAGAAGAUCAAUAAAACCGAUAAAUCUGUAAUCAACAUUGUUAGGGGAAAAGGGAGAGAAACUAUAGUUAUCAGGAAGGUUAAAGGUGUUUUUGAGACAGUUAUUAAAAGGACCUUAAGAACAACGUUAUGCCAAUAAAUUCAAUAAUUUAAAUUAAGCUGAAAAAUUCCCUGAAAGAUACAAACUAACAGAGAUCAAUCAAUAAAAGAACAGAUAAUCUAAAUAGGCUUACAACUAUUAAAGAAAUUGAAUUUCUAGGUUAAAAUCUUCUAAUAAAGAAGAUUCUGAGGGGCUGGGGAUGUGGCUCAGGAGGUAGUGCGCUUGCCUGGCAUGCGUGUGGCCCGGGUUCGAUCCUCAGCACCACACACAAACAAAGAUGUUGUGUCCGCCGAAAACUAAAAUAAAUAAAUAUUUUAAAAAUUCUCUCUCUCUCUCUCUUUAAAAAAAGAAAAAAAGAAGAAGAUUCUGAGCUUAGAUGGUUUCAGUGGUGAAAUCUACUAAACAUUUAAGAAAAAUAAUAGUGAUAUAUCUACACAAAUACUUCCAGGAAAUUUAAGAGGGAAGAAUGCUUUCCACUUUUUUUCUGAUUUUAAGAUCACUACAAUACCAAAACCAAAGAUAUACGGUGGACCAACCUGAAC